GGAGUUUGUUCAGGAAGCUUUUGACAGAAGCUUUUCUCUCAAGCUACCAGACUGACUAUGUCGACGAUUCUUAUCAGUUUGUUUCUGACUUUCUUAUCCUGUGUCCUGUCUGAGGUUACUUUAAUUCAACCAGAGGCAAGGAACAGCCAACCUGGAGGCUCCCUGAGACUGACCUGUAAAACCAGCGGGUUUAGUCUUGGUAGCUACUACAUGGGUUGGGUCCGUCAGGUUCCCGGACAGGCUCUGGAGUGGUUGAUUACCUACUAUGAUUCAUCAAACAGUUACUAUGCGCCAGCAAUUAAAGAUCGAUUUAUUGCAUCCAAAGACACUUCAAACAACAUCUUCGCGUUGGAAAUGGAGAGCCUGAAGAUUGAAGACACCGCCGUCUAUUACUGUGCAAAAGAUCACAGAGCGACGAACAGUGAUGGCUUCGAUUCCUGGGGACAAGGAACCAUGGUGACAAUGACUUUAGUGACACUGUCUUCCCUGAAAAUUUAUGGUCUAGCCUCCUGUGAGCACCACAGCACUGACGGCUCUGUGAUUUUUGGUUGUUUGGCGAUGGACUAUUCCCCUGACACCACUAGUGUGACCUGGAAGAAAGGUGGGGAGCCGAUCACGACUGGAUUUAUGACAUACCCAUCGGUGAGAAACAAGAAGGGAACUUAUACCCUGAGCAGUCAGUUAGUGGUCACUGAGUCGGAGGCAGAAUGUGAAAAAAUUAUCUGUGAGGUUCAACAGAGCGGAUCCGACACGAACACUGGAAUGCCAUGCAAAAAUGGCGGUGUUCCUCCAACUGUUCUGCUAACUGUGAGUUCCAGUGAAGAAAUCGAGAGCAGAAAAGUUGCAACCAUAGUCUGUUCAAUCUUUGACUUCAAACCAAAGAAAAUCUCCGUGGUUUGGUUGAAGAAUGGAAGAGAAGUGAAUUCUGGUAUCUUCACUUUUCCCGUGUGUGAAGCAAAUGGAAACUUCUCAACGAUCAGUCAGCUGAGAGUCCCAUAUAGUGAAUGGUUCGACAGAGCAGUCUAUACAUGCCAGGUCGAUCAUGAAGGGCUCAUUCAAAGUCAGAACAUCACCAGACCUCAGGUUUCAGAGUGUCAUGAUUACACAGCUAAAAUACUACCGCCACCAGUUGAACAGGUCUUACUGGAGGCCACGGUGACAUUAACCUGCAUUGUGUACAACCUUCAUUUUGAAGCCAACUUCACCUGGAUACAUGACAAGAAGUCUCUGAAAUCAGAGUUUGUUCAUCAGUCCGGAGAGCAUUCUGAAGGUGUUAUCAGCAAGUUAGAUAUUUCUACUGAAGCCUGGCUGAGUGGGGAUACAUUUGAAUGCGUGGUGAACAAUCAGUAUCUGCCGACUCCACUGAGACAGUCUAUCCACAAGGAGAAAUUGGUAAACCCGCUGGAGCCAUCGGUGUCUGUCCUCCUGCCAACGACAGAAGACGUCUCCGCACAGAAGUUUGUUUCACUCACCUGUUUAGUGAGAGGUUUCAGGCCCCGAGAGAUCCUCGUCAAGUGGACAACCAACGACAAGCCGGUUAAUCCCACUAACUAUAAGAACACCGAGGUGAUGGCAGAGAGCGAUAACACCUCUUUCUUCAUGUACAGCCUAUUAUCCAUUUCUGCAGAGGAGUGGGCCAGCGGUGCUUCUUACUCCUGUGUGGUGGGACAUGAAGCGAUUCCAUUGAAGAUCAUCAACAGAACGGUUGAUAAGUCCAGCGAUUCGAUAGAUCGUAAUUGGAUUGAAGACUUUGAGUAUGAUAACGGCAACAUCAGGACAACAGCUUCUACAUUCAUCACCUUGUUCUUCCUGAGCAUUUUCUAUAGUGCUGCCGUCACGCUGGUGAAGGUCAAGUGAUUGAGUUUUGGACACCAUAGAAUUUCCUCGAGGAAAUUUUAUUUUUAUUGAGGCCACUGAAUUCCAAAUGUACAGUCCGUCCUACUGUUGACACUAGCAGUGAGAUAGAUUCAAUUUAUGAGUAUGUAACUGGGAAAAUAUUCAAUGGGAUUUCCAAUUUACCUUGUUUGAUC